AUCUGGUCCCCUUUCUUUCUCUCUAAACAUUUUUCUCAUUUUGUGUGUGUGAAAUUUAUUUCCUCAUUGAGAUAAAGCUGGACCACUUUUACAUAUGCUUGGACACUAGGCCCAGCAGGUAGGCCGCAUGCCUCCUGCACCGCGCCAGUCGUCGGGCCGCGAGCGAAGGGUUCCCAGCCCACGAAAGGUUCCAUGAGCAGGAAAGGUUCGUGCUUUUUUUUCCUCGCUGGUUUUUUGGUUCUUUGCAUAUCGGCCGUAGUCACCCGUGCAUGCAGCCCAGCCGUCCACACAUCUCACCCUUCUCCCUUGGGCCCCCGCGUCGUCCACCCCUGGCGACUUGAGGGGUGAAGACCUAGCGGCGCCACUUUCUCCUCCCCUUCCCUCCCCUGACCCACCGUCGCCGGAGGCGUCGGCCGACGAAGCUUGUCUGUCUCCGGGGAUGGAGACGGCGGGGCGUCUUUCUAUCUGGCGGGAAGCGGCGGGGUUGCUUCUCCGGCUAGCGCGUGUGGAGGUGGUGGCGGCGACGCAUGUUGCUCCGGCAUGGUGCCAUGCGGCGCACGGCCGUGCUCGAGGCCGUGGUGCACAACGCUGGUGUGAGCGCUGUUGGCCACUGGAUGGGGCGGAGGUCCCCCGCGUGGUCUGCUGGAUCUCGCGCCGGCGGGGCGGUUGCCGUGGUGGAGAGCAUGGGGCACCGGCACGACUGCGCUAGGGGCUGUGGCAUGCUGCACUGGUGUGCGCGGGGUCGGCAGCUGACUUGGGCAGCGGCCUCCCGAGUGGCCUGCUGGUGCUAGUCUCCAUGUCAGGCAGGCGGGCUGCAGAUGUUUCCUCUCCUGUCGGUCCUCUUGAUGUGCUCCGGCCAGAUGCCGUGCUGGGGGUGUGGCUGUUAUUCCUCUUCCUUAUGCGGCAGCGCCGGCGAAAGGACGACGUGGUGCUGGACAGACUCCCUUCCCCUUCCUCCUCUGUGGAUAUUUCUUUCCUUUCUUCCUUACUGAUUUCAACAGUUUUGUACGGAAGCUGGGCUCCAUGUAAAUAUUCAUUUGGUUUGAUUGCCACUUCCGGUAAUGUGUGUAGAAGAUUCGGUAUUGCAAUUUUGAUUAUUCUUAUUCUUUUCAGAUCCGGUUGUGCAGUUUUGUGAAAAAGCGAAGCAACUUUUUAACCGAAUAAAUGUUUGAUUGUAUGCACUA